UACGUAGGGGGCGAGCGUUGUCCGAAGUUACUGGGCGUAAAGAGCGCGUAGGCGGGUCUUUAAGUGAGUGGUGAAAGGUUCGGGCUCAACCCGGACACUGCCUUUCAUACUGGGGACCUUGAGUGCGGGAGGGGCGAGUGGAAUGGUCGGUGUAGCGGUGAAAUGCGUAGAUAUCGAUCGGAACACCCAUGGCGAAGGCAGCUCGCUGGCCUGCAACUGACGCUGAGGCGCGAAAGCUGGGGGAGCAAGCGGG
rnacentral:rRNA from 1 species